rnacentral:misc_RNA from 1 species
CUUUCAUUCGACACACACAGAAUUUUUCUAAGUUCCAUUUUGUGUGGCGACUCGAGACUUUGAAAAAUUUUCAUAGCACUUUUGCCUUUGCCGUGUAGCUCUUUGCUUUUAUAUUUCAUCUCGUGUUAAGUGGCUGAAAUAAGUAUUUUUUAGCUGCUAAUCGAAGCAGAGAAGUGUGUGCGUGGAAUCUUCCGAAUUUUCUUGUGAAUUUUCGUAGUCGAGACUAAAAAUGAGCGUGGAUGUGGCACCCGAAAAUGACAUCAAGACUCAGAAUGGGUCAUCCGAACUGGUGCAAGUGAAUGGCGUCAGUAAUGGUCAUCACAGUGGUAGCAGCAGUAGUAAACAUAAAUCCUCUAGUAAGGAUAAACAUCGUGAUCGCGAUCGUGAUCAUAAAAGUUCAAGCUCAAGUUCAAAGGAUCACAAGAGCAGCAGUCGCGACAAAGAUAAACACCAUAGUAGUUCUUCGUCCAGUAGUAAGGAUAAAUAUCGAGAUAAAGAACGCGAUGGCAAGCAUAGCUCCAGUUCAAGUUCGAGCCAUCGUGAUAAGGACCGUGAAAAGGACAAAGAUAAACAUAAAUCAUCAUCGUCAUCGAGCUCUAGCCAUCAUAAAAGCUCGUCAAAAGAUAAGGAACGCAAAGAUAAAGAUCGUGAACGUAAAGAAAGCAGUAGCUCCUCUUCGUGCAAAGAUAAAGAUAAGGAACGAGAUCGCCACCAUAAAUCGUCUUCAUCCUCAUCAUCUAGCUCUCGUGAUAAGGAUCGCCAUCGGAGUUCGUCGUCAUCUUCGAAACACAAACAUUCCAGCUCUAGUUCUUCAAAGUCUUCAUCCGGUGACAAAUCAAAAUUAAUAGAUGGAGAAUUCAUUAAACCAGAGCCGAUCUCACAACCUUUAAUCGAUUCACAGUCAAAUGGUUAUAAUACUGAUUUUGUAGCACUUCGACCCGAACCAGUUGGUAACGAUUAUAUGGAUGAAUCAAAUACCGGUUUCGACAAUAGUCAAAAUGGCAAAGAUGGUUACGAAGAAAAACCGGACAUUAAGAUGGAAGAACAAAAUAUUAAUAUUUCACAGGCUAGUUCAUGCGAUUAUUCGAUGUCACAAUUUAAAGAGGAUGAGCCCUCAUUUGUCGUAAAAGAGGAGGCCAGUGCUGACGAAGAUAGUAUGUUCAAACAGGAGACGGAAAAUCAAGAGUAUGAGGACGACGAAGAAGAUGUCCCAUUGGCUAUGCGUAAGACAAAUGUUAAAACUAUUACUCCAAUUGCUGAGGAGGAGGACGAUGAAGAGGAUAUACCACUAGCUAAACGCAAAAUAAAAGCAGAAGUGGAAGAAGAUGACGAUGAGGAUGUGCCAUUGUUGGCAAGAAAGAAGGCUAAGAAAGAGUCAUCAUCAGGGAAGACUAAGAAUAAAAAGAAACGUGUCAAGGAAGAGGAAGAAGAAGAGUAUGGAGAGACAAAGCCCAAGAAGAAAAAGGCCAAGAAGACCGAGCAGCAGCCACAAGUUAAACAGGAGACUGCUUCCCCAACCAAACGAAAGAAGAAGGAGGAAGAAGAAGAAGAGGUUUGGAGAUGGUGGGAGGAAGAGAAGCGGGAAGAUGGUGUUAAGUGGAAUAGUUUAGAACACAAAGGGCCCGUUUUUGCGCCACCAUAUGAACGUGUACCGAAGCAUGUACGUUUCUAUUACGAUGGCAAACCUAUGGAUUUGUCUUCAGAGACUGAGGAGGCAGCAACGUUCUAUGCAAAAAUGUUAAACCACGAUUAUUGCACAAAACAAAUCUUUAAUGACAAUUUCUUCAAAGAUUUUCGUAAGAGUAUGACAUCCAAAGAGCGUGAAAUAAUCAAAGACUUUGGAAAGUGCAAUUUUGAAGAAAUGUUUAGGUAUUUCACUGCAGAGUCCGAAAAACGCAAGAGUGCUACAAAAGAGGAGAAACUGGCUAAAAAGAUGGAAAAUGAGGCAUUAGUUAAGGAGUAUGGAAUUUGCCUAAUUGAUGGCCACAAGGAAAAAAUAGGUAAUUUCCGAUUAGAACCUCCAGGACUAUUUCGCGGUCGUGGCGAACAUCCGAAAAUGGGUAUGAUUAAACGUCGCAUUCAAGCAGAAGAUGUGUCUAUUAACUGUGGCAAAGAUUCGAAAAUUCCAUCGCCACCACCGGGCCACCGAUGGAAGGAGGUGCGCCAUGAUAACACAGUAACCUGGUUGGCCUCUUGGACGGAGAAUGUGCAAGGCCAAGUCAAAUAUAUUAUGUUGAAUCCCUCGUCUAAAUUAAAGGGUGAAAAGGAUCACGUAAAAUAUGAAACUGCUCGACGUUUAGCUAAAUCCAUAGACAAAAUACGUGCCACAUAUCGUGAUGAAUGGAAAUCAAAAGAGAUGCGUGUCCGACAACGCGCUGUCGCUUUGUAUUUCAUUGAUAAAUUGGCUCUAAGAGCUGGUAAUGAAAAAGACGAGGAUCAAGCUGAUACCGUAGGUUGUUGUUCUCUUCGCGUUGAACACGUUAAAUUAGAAAAACAAUUAAACGGUAAAGAGAAUGUUGUUGUAUUUGAUUUCUUGGGUAAAGAUUCCAUUCGCUACUACAACGAAGUUGAGGUUGAAAAGCGAGUAUUCAAAAAUCUAGAACUAUUUUUGGAGAAUAAAAAGGAAGGAGACGAUCUGUUUGACAGGCUUAACACUCAAGUGCUCAACGAACAUUUAAAGGAGCUUAUGGAAGGACUCACUGCCAAAGUGUUCCGUACCUACAACGCCUCAAUUACAUUACAAAACCAGUUGGAUUUACUCACCGAAGAAAGUAUGUCACCUGCGGAGAAGUUACUUGCCUAUAACCGCGCCAAUCGUGCAGUAGCCAUAUUAUGUAACCAUCAACGUUCAGUACCAAAAGGACAUGAAAAAUCAAUGGAGAACUUGAAGGAGAAGAUACGUCAGAAACGCGAGAUGAUUGAGGAAGCCGAGUCGGACUAUCAUGAUCUGAAAAAAGCUGCCAAACGUGGAUCGGUAAAAGAACGCGUUAUGGCUGACAAGAAGGCAAAGACGUUGGAAAGAUUAAAAGAGCAGCUAAAGAAAUUAGAAUUACAAGAGACUGAUAGGGAUGAGAACAAGACAAUUGCAUUGGGCACAUCUAAGUUGAACUAUUUAGAUCCACGUAUUACUGUCGCAUGGUGCAAGAAGCAUGGAGUGCCAAUUGAAAAAAUCUUCAACAAAACUCAAAGAAACAAAUUCAUGUGGGCUAUACAUAUGGCUGAUGAAAAUUAUCGCUUCUAAAUACAUAUUAAUGUAUUGUAUGUCGGCGGCAAUGGCGCACGGUAACGAAUUCGGCGCAACACUACUACUACCACCACCCACCACUUAACGCUGUAGAUGAAUGCAUGAUGAAUUUAAGAGGGAAAAAGAAAUAUCAAAAUCGGCGACGUCAAUAAUGCUUAUUUAAACAGCAGACGAAAGAUUGAGAUGAGAGACAUUAAAAUAUGCCUCAAACUAUUUCAUAAUAUAUGUAUGAAUUAACUACAUACGUAUAUGCAUAUUAUCCAUAGUAUAUAACGUUUAGUAUGUAACAAUCAACUUAUUUCAUUAUGAUAGACACAACAUUACUUGCAAUACAUUUGAAUACAUAAUUAAAUAUGUAUGCCUAGUUAUGUAAGUUAAUAGGAAUAGUUUGCCAUUUUAUGUGCGAAUGGCAACGGACUGUUCUCCUUAAUUAUCAUCAUGAACACACACUCACAUAUAUAUACAUCUACACCCACACAAACAAAACACAUUUAGUAGAACGUAUUAGCGUACAAACUUUAGAAAUUUUUGAGAGUUACAAUUUCGUUUUUAUUUAUAAAACGCGAAAGAAAAUUAAAAUCACACAAAAAAACGUAAAUUUAAAUGAAAAUCUGCAUAUUUGAAUGGAAGGACAGCGCAGAGCAUACAGCGGCAAGGCAAUUUUUACUGGAACAGUGCACACUAAUUCAGUUUUAGUAGAAAUUUUGUUUUUAAUGCAUGUAUACAUAAAUACUAGUGUGCUUUCUUUUUUGAUUUUUCCUCAAGGAAGGGCACAUCACUGCAUAUACAUACAUAUGGUAUAUAUAUACUAUAAAAUAUACAUGAUAAACAAACAUUAUUUGAGUUAAAUCAAUUUUUAGCAUAAUUCAUUACAAUUUUAUCUUAUCUAAAUGUAAGAAAAUACACUAUAUAAUAUAAUAAUAAUAAUAAUUUAUAAGUCGUCAGAGCAAGAGAAGAGGGAAACCGCUUCGUUACACUCAAAUAAGAGGUAAAUGAAACACAAAUUUAUCAAUGUAGCGGGCUAAUUCAGAAUUUUCCCAAUUUAUGUGUAAUAAUUUAGAUUCGAUCUUAAAUGCAAGUAUGCAAUCAUUCGGCGUAUGCAUUGAAAACAAAUAAAACUAGACUUUUAAUUAAACAAGAAAAUAAAAUAAGAAAAACAUGCAAUUUAGUUUAUCAUUUAUUAUUUCUUUAUUGUUUUUUUUUUUUUAAUUCUAUACAAUAUGAGACACAAUUUAAUAGCAGUUACAAAAAAAAAUAAUAAUAAUAGUAUAUUUAUAUAUACAUAUUAUAUAUAUGUAUGUACGCGAAUACAUACGUAUGUAUUUUCAACAAGUUAAGGUUAAAAAGUAACUUUUGUACCCACACUUUCCACUAUUUACAUACCACAAUACAACGUACAUACAUGCAUACAUAUAUUCAGUUGUUUUUGUAUUAUUUAAGUUACAAAACAGAAAUAUAUCAAAUAUUGUAAUGUAAACAACAGAAAAGCAUUUACUUUGAUUAUUUAUGGAUUUACAUAAACGGAACUAAACUGGAUUUGCAUCCGAAUGAGUGCUAUCUCCCCAGAAGUGUUGCCUAAAACUAGAUCAGAUCAUGUUUUUGUUUUAACAAAAACAAUAACAAAACGGUAUGUUUUUGUUUUAAUAAAAACAAUAACAAAACGGCAUGUUUUUGUUUAAACAAAAACAAUAACAAUGAAUUUUGAUAUUACAAAAAUAAUAACACUUGUUAGCUAUUAAUCGCUGUGAAGCGGUGACAGCGCAAAACGAGAUAACGGUGAGUGGUUGCUCGAGAGUUACUUUUAUAUAUAAAUAAUAUACCUAUACAUAUAUAUGAUUAUUUUUAAUUAGCUUAAUAUUUAUAAUUCUUCUGUAAAAAAAUUAAAUAUAUCUUCGUUUGUCGAAUUUUGCUUUUUAUCUAUUGGUUUAAAACAAUUGCUUACAUUACAUUACAAUACUAAAAUGUUUAUAUUCCUCGCACACAAUUUUACAUUUGUAAACAAAUCAUUUACUUCAAUUCAGAAGCUUUCAAUCAUCAAACAAUAUAACAUGAAAAUCGUUAAGCAAAAACAAAAAGAAAUUUCAGUUUAAUUGGCAAAUAGCUGAAAAGUCAGUGAUAUCAGCUAGCUAACGACUUAAAAUACAUUUUUUUAUAAUAUACCAGCAGAUAUAAAUAAUAAAUAUAUCAAAAUCAAACCAAAUUAAACACAAAUUAAGCUGAACACAUACAUACAUACUAGUUUUAUAAAGCAAGUAUUUUAUAGAACAAACUAUAUAAAAAAAAUAUUUAAGAACACAUCAACUUCUGUUUAUUGCAACAAAGUUUGGAGUCAACAAAAAUAAUUUGAAAAUAGAAGUAGUAUAAUAAUUGAACUACAAACACACUCGAAGAGCAAAAUCAAUUAAACAUGCCUAAAUUAGAUAUUUUAUGAAGCAAAAGCACUCAACAUUGGCAUAAAAUAAAUAAAUAUCGUAUACAUACAAAUAAACAGAUCAUACGCAUAUCUGUUUAGGUAUCAACUCAACUUUUGAUGAAACUAAUCAACAGGAGGUGACAGUUAAUACGGAAAUACAAAUAAAAACAAAUAAAAAUUAUAAUUUAUACAUAUGUAUGUGAUAAAUAAGUACGUAUGUAGGUAAGUUGCAAAAUUACUAAAUAACUAAAAUAAUUUGCAACAAAAGCACAUUUAGUUGCACAUACACAAUGACGUAUGUAUGUAUCGUAUUUCAAAGGAUAAAUAAAAUUUAGAAAAUACA